GACGAACGCUGGCGGCGUGCUUAACACAUGCAAGUCGAACGGAAAGGCCCUGCUUUUGUGGGGUGCUCGAGUGGCGAACGGGUGAGUAACACGUGAGUAACCUGCCCUUGACUUUGGGAUAACUUCAGGAAACUGGGGCUAAUACCGGAUAGGAGCUCCUGCUGCAUGGUGGGGGUUGGAAAGUUUCGGCGGUUGGGGAUGGACUCGCGGCUUAUCAGCUUGUUGGUGGGGUAGUGGCUUACCAAGGCUUUGACGGGUAGCCGGCCUGAGAGGGUGACCGGCGACAUUGGGACUGAGAGACGGCCCAGACUCCGACGGGAGGCAGCAGUGGGGAAUAUUGCACAAUGGGCGGAAGCCUGAUGCAGCAACGCCGCGUGCGGGAUGACGGCCUUCGGGUUGUAAACCGCUUUCGCCUGUGGCGAAGCGUGAGUGACGGUAAUGGGUAAAGAAGCACCGGCUAACUACGUGC
rnacentral:rRNA from 1 species